rnacentral:rRNA from 1 species
GUCUACAGCUGUACCACCCUGAACGUGCCCAAUCUCGUCUGAUCUCGGAAGCGAAGCAGGGUCGGGCCUGGUUAGUACUUGGAUGGGAAGAGUCCUACUUACAAUGGGCU